rnacentral:tRNA from 2 species
GCGCCCAUAGCUCAAUCGGAUAGAGCGUUUGGCUACGGACCAAAAGGUUGGGGAUUCGAGUUCUCCUGGGCGCGCCA